rnacentral:rRNA from 1 species
GCAAGUCGAACGAUGAAGCUCUAGCUUGCUAGAGUUUGAGAGUGGCGGACGGGUGAGUAACGCGUAGGAAUCUGUCUAUUAGUCUGGGACAACUCGGGGAAACUCGAGCUAAUACUGGAUAAGUUCUUCGGAAGAAAGGUGGGAGCUUGCUCCUAUCACUGAUAGGUGAGCCUGCGUUGGAUUAGCUUGUUGGUGGGGUAAAAGCCUACCAAGGCGACGAUCCAUAGCUGUUCUGAGAGGAAGAUC